rnacentral:misc_RNA from 1 species
GAUGAAGAACGUAGCGAAAUGCGAUAAGUAAUGUGAAUUGCAGAAUUCAGUGAAUCAUCGAAUCUUUGAACGCACAUUGCGCCCCCUGGUAUUCCGGGGGGCAUGCCUGUCCGUGCGUCAUUGCUGCCCUCAAGCACGGCUUGUGUGUUGGGCCUCCGUCCUCCUCCCGGGGGACGGGCCCGAAAGGCAGCGGCGGCACCGCGUCCGGUCCUCGAGCGUAUGGGGCUUCGUCACCCGCUCUUGUAGGCCCGGCCGGCGCUUGCCGACACAUCAAUCUUUUUUCCAGGUUGACCUCGGAUCAGGUAGGGAUACCCGCUGAACUUAAGCAUAUCAAUAAGCGGAGGA